rnacentral:tRNA from 1 species
UCCCAAGUGUCUGAAUGGUAAAGAACCUGCCUGCCAAUGUAGGAGAAACAGGAGACAUGGGUUUGAUCCCUUGGUUGGGAA